rnacentral:misc_RNA from 1 species
GAAAUGCGAUAAGUAAUGUGAAUUGCAGAAUUCAGUGAAUCAUCGAAUCUUUGAACGCACAUUGCGCCCCCUGGCAUUCCGGGGGGCAUGCCUGUUCGAGCGUCAUUAUAACCCUCAAGCCCAGCUUGGUGUUGGGGCCUGCCGCCCGCGGCAGCCCCUAAAAGCAGUGGCGGUGCCUACCUCUGGCUCUAAGCGUAGUAAAUCUUCUCGCUAUAGGGUCUGGUAGAUGCUGGCCAACAACCCCCAAUUUUUCUAUGGUUGACCUCGGAUCAGGUAGGGAUACCCGCUGAACUUAA